AGCAGUCGCCACGGGAAUACGGAGGGUGCAAGCGUUAAUCGGAAUUACUGGGCGUAAAGCGCACGCAGGCGGUCUGACAAGUCAGAUGUGAAAUCCCCGGGCUUAACCUGGGAACUGCAUUUGAAACUGUCAGGCUGGAGUCUUGUAGAGGGGGGUGGAAUUCCAGGUGUAGCGGUGAAAUGCGUAGAGAUCUGGAGGAAUACCGGUGGCGAAGGCGGCCCCCUGGACAAAGACUGACGCUCAGGUGCGAAAGCGUGGGGAGCAAACAGGAUUAGAUACCCGUGUAGUCCCUGUCUCUUAUAA
rnacentral:rRNA from 1 species